GGCCUGGUAGCUCAGUUGGUAGAGCAGCGGACUGAAAAUCCGUGUGUCGGUGGUUCAAUUCCGCCCCAGGCCACCA
rnacentral:tRNA from 1 species